AGUGAACGCUGGCGGUAGGCCUAACACAUGCAAGUCGAACGGCAGCACACUAAGAGCUUGCUCUUACGGGUGGCGAGUGGCGGACGUGUGAGGAAUACAUCGGAAUCUACCUUUUCGUGGGGGUUCACGUAGGGAAACUUACGAUAAUACCGCAUACGACCUACGGGUGAAAGCAGGGGAUCUUCGGACCUUGCGCGAUUGAAUGAGCGGAUGUCGGAUUAGCUAGUUGGCGGGGUAAAGGCCCACCAAGGCGACGAUCCGUAGCUGGUGUGAGAGGAUGGUCAGCCACACGGGAACGGAGACACGGUCCAGACGCCUACGGGAGGCAGCAGUGGGGAAUAUUGGACAACGGGCGCAAGCCUGGUCCAGCCAUACCGAGUGGGUGAAGAAGGCCUUCGGGUUGUAAAGCCCGUUUGUUGGGAAAGAAAAGCAGCAGGUUAAUACCCCGCUGUUCUGACGGUACCCAAAAAAUAAGCACCGGCUAACUUCGUG
rnacentral:rRNA from 1 species